GUCCUGCAAGACACAGUGGGUUGUCUUGUAGAAAAGGUUUUGGAUUUUAGUGGUAUUUGACUUAUGUUGUGGCUUAUUAUAGUUAUGAUUUUGGUCUUGUGAUUUUGGUAUUGGUGACAGACUGUUAUAAAUGAGUUAUUAAUUGUUGUUAGUUUGAUACAAUUUUAGUCUCCGCCUCAAGUGUUGUAACUGUGUGGAGUGUGUCUGUGGGAUCCCAUGUGUGUGUGUGAAUGCGAGAUUGAUAAUGGGAAAUCAGCAGAGUGGAGAGAUCUUGAAAAAGAGUCCUUUAGGAUGCAUUUUGGCACACUGGAAAGAACUUGGAGGGUUUCCUGGGGGCUCAGUAAAU